GACGAACGCUGGCGGCGUGCUUAACACAUGCAAGUCGAACGAAGUGGCGAACGGGUGAGUAACGCGUAAUCAACCUGCCCUUCAGAGGGGGAUAAAAGUUGGAAACGACUGCUAAUACCGCAUACUGAAGGAGGGGAUUGCGUCUGAUUAGCUAGUUGGAUGGGUAACGGCCCACCAAGGCGAAGAUCAGUAGCCAGUCUGAGUGGAUGAGCGGCCACAUUUGGACUGAGACACGGCCCAGAUUCCUACGGGAGGCAGCAGUGGGGAAUCUGCCGAAAUGGACGAAAGUCUGACGGAGCAACGCCGAGGGAGUGAGGACGGCCUUCGGGUUGUAAAGCUCUUUUAAUCGGGACGCGGUACCGGAAUAGAAAGCCACGGCUAACUACGUGCCAGCAGCCGCGGUAAUUC
rnacentral:rRNA from 1 species